rnacentral:rRNA from 1 species
UACGGGGGGGGCAAGCGUUGUUCGGAAUUACUGGGCGUAAAGGGCUCGUAGGCGGCCAACUAAGUCGGACGUGAAAUCCCUCGGCUUAACCGGGGAACUGCGUCCGAUACUGGAUGGCUCGAGUAUGGGAGAGGGAUGCGGAAUUCCAGGUGUAGCGGUGAAAUGCGUAGAUAUCUGGAGGAACACCGGUGGCGAAGGCGGCAUCCUGGACCACGACUGACGCUGAUGAGCGAAAGCCAGGGGAGCAAACGGG